CCCCACUCCUCCUGUUUUCCUGUGCUCGCUUCCUUUAAGAUGUAUUUUUAUAGCCUUGUAAAACACCACUGUAUAUUCCUGUAUAAGCUAGUAAAGACACGAGCACAAUGCAGUUCUGCGGUUGUUACUACAGCGGUGCCUGAGAAGGAACCCCUGCAUGCCAGGCUGGGCGUAUACACUGAGCAAUGGAGAGGUCGUGCCCAAAACAGGCAGGGCAGGCUGUGGGGAACAAGCCUGUGUCAGGAAGGAAGAGGAGAAGAUGGAGGAAAGGGGAGGUUGUUUCCAGGCAGGAGAGCAGCGAGAAGGCAACAGGAGAUGGGGUCCCAUAUGGCUGAAGCUGAGAUGAAGAGAUGUUGGACCCAUGUGCCCUUCUGGGCGAAACCACUUCAACUCCAAGAGCUGUUGGCAUCCCCAGUCACUAAUCCAGUUCUGGAAAAGCUGUGCCUGGGAGGCAGCAGAGGCCAUACAAGAAGGUUAUGGAAAACAGCUACCUCUACCUUCCUAGCUUCAGACCCUGCAUCUACAGCAUGUUGGGUGCCCCAAAGGUUGUUCUUACCACAUCCCACUCUCUUUAACCUAAAGGAGGAUGUUGAGGAUAAAGGUUUAACUUUUUGCAAAGCAAAUGUUUCAGUCCUUUCUAGGGGCAAUGACAACCACAACUCCAAAGAGAAUUGAUUCUACUAUCUGGAGGACUUAUAAUUCCUCAGUGACAACCAGUGAUUACUCCAAGUACUGUGCCUGGAGCAGCAGCUUCAGAGUUGAGAAAGGUCAGCAACAACAGAGAAAGGGUAAAUCACAGGGCAGAUAGAGGGAAGUGCAGUACAAAGCAAAAAGAUGUUUGCUGCUCUUGGCAAAACAUGUCUGAGCUCCUCAGGGUGGGAGAUCUCCACGUGGACAAACGCAGAACAUUGUGCAUCUGCUCCACCUGCACUUGGAGCAAUCCAGAAGCUGGACAGUUUGGGGCCAAAUAGUGGCACCAGCAUAGCACUGUGCUUGUCUUGAGCUAUUUAUACACACAACUCUGAGCAGGGCUUAUUCUUUUAUGCUCCAGGCCUUGCUAACGUGAUUUUGUGCCUUGCAGAGCACAACUAUCUGAGGCAGUGCCUGAACAGGGUGCUAAGCUUGACUGUCUAGACCAAGGUAUAACAACAUGCUUAGUGACCUUCAAUAAAAAAGUAUUUACCUUAGCA
rnacentral:lncRNA from 1 species